CUACUGAGCAUUACGAAAGGAUGCUGAGUCCCCGCGCUGGCUCCCUGCACUGGAUGUCCAACUUCUCCAUUCAGUCCCAAUGGUGCUAUCAUGAUACGGCCCUCGUCCCUUUGUGCGUGCUUGCAUGUGCUUACCCAAUGGAGUGUGUGUGCAGGCAAGUGCACACAGAGGCCAAGGAUGGGGUGUUUUAAGGCCAUCAGGCAAGGAUCAACUGCCAAGCAUCUGACAUGGAGAAGCCAAUCUGCCGCCUAUUGUAGUCUCCCCUCCCCCAGCCUGAAACCUGCUUGCUCAGGGGUGGAGCUUUCUGCUCAUUCGUUCUGCCACGCCCACUGCUGGAACCUGCGGAGCCACACACGUGCACCUUUCUACUGGACCAGAGAUUAUUCGGCGGGAAUCGGGUCCCCUCCCCCUUCCUUCAUAACUAGUGUCGCAACAAUAAAAUUUGAGCUUUGAUCAGAAUAACUGUCUUGGCUACAUUUCUUUCUCUCGCCACCUAGCCCCUCUUCUCUUCCAGGUUUCCAAAAUGCCUUUCCAGGCUAGAACCCAGGUUGUGGUCUGCUGGCCGGACACAACAGCCUAUCAUAAUUCCAUGGCUUUCUCGUCUGAAA
rnacentral:lncRNA from 1 species